GAAGCAUCAUUCCGACACAGCACACGGCAGCUCUAUUCUGUUGCACUGCGCUCUGAACGGCUACUCGACUAUUAGGUAGGUACCUGCCCUCUGCUUUGCUCUGCUCUGCCCGACGCUGGUAGCAACUGCCACAGACACAGAAGACAACGGCCUACCGCGCUCUCACUGACUUCACUCAGCCACCGGUCACUCUUCUCGCUGCAAGCAGUCCUAUCACAUCUCAUCGCAACGCUACGCGUAUUGCUCCACUCCAGCAUCAACACCGGUGGGGAAAACACAGCCAAUCGUGCCGGAAGUUUUCAUAAGAGGCGUGUUCAGUUCGUCGAACAAAAGCGCUCGAAAAAACUGUGUGCUCAAGAUUAAGUUUCAAGAGAUGCUGGUUAGAAUAAGUUUGCUCAGUGAAGUACUGAAAACAGUCUAGUAUUGUUUUUUAUCUUGCGGUUGUGUCGAGAGGUAGUAGUGGGAGUUGAGUUGAUAUUGGACAAGAAGAGGCUCGGCUAGACAGAGAAGAUGUUUGCGAUUAUGCAAGUGGAGACGGAGGACCGGAGGGAGUUCCGUCGGAAGAUGCGGGCCAAGUGCGAAUUCAUCUGCAAGUAUUGUCAGCGCCGAUUCACCAAGCCCUACAACCUCAUGAUCCACGAGCGCACCCACAAGGAUGACGUCACCUUCACCUGCGAGGUCUGCGGCAAGACCUUCAAGCGCCAGGACAACCUCAAGCAGCACAGAUGUGGGUGGCGGUGAAGAAUUGUGGUGUAUCUGUUCUACCUACAGCGCUCCUCUUAACUGUAAUGUCGAUACACAGUCCCGACAACUGCAGGAAUGCUGGCAAUGGAUACGCAACCAGGUUAUGAGUUCUACAAACAAUCAUUCUUAUCGCCUGGUUUCUGUGUUCUUUAGAACUGCACCUGUCACAGUUGAUGUUGAACAGUUUGUGAUAUGCGAACAGUUUUCAUUCAUGUGGUCUAGAGCCAGUGAUAUAAUGGACUCAUUCAUGUAAAAUGUUCUCUGCACACUUUCUACUACGGAAUAGAAUAAUCCAUAGUCUCGAAUCAAAAAUAUGAUAUUAAUAGAAUAGGCCUACUAUACACGAUUGAACUUGUUUAUAUACAGGUAACAGAAUGAAUAUUUUGACAUAGCUCACCAGUCUGUUCCUCCAGAUUCAAGUAAUAGAUUGUAUGAUCUGCCCUAAGCUUUAUCGUUCAUUUACUCUCCUCAAUGAAUUGAUCGAUCAACGAACUCAAAUUUCCUUAAAUAAUUCCUCAAAUAAACUAACAUAAUACGUAUCAGUGUUGUUGCUGAGAUAAACAAUGACAAUUAUUGAGAAUUAAUUAUGUGCCCUAAGCUUCACUGUUCAUUUACUCUCCUCAAUGAAUUGAUCGAUCAACGAACUCAAAUUUCCUUAAAUAAUUCCUCAAAUAAACUAACCUAAUACGUAUCAAUGUUGCUGAGAUAAACAAUGACAAUUAUUGGGAAUUAACAUCCUUAUAAUCUGCAAUAAAACUGAAGGCACAAUAAAUGGAGGUAUGUUUGUUUUAAUUAUAUAGGCUAGCAAUAAUUCCAAUUGCCGGGAAAUUUGAGCUUGCGAGAUUCACAUGAGGUCCAAUCUGUGUAGGAGACAAAAUAUCAUGUAACUUAUUCAUGCAACUUUUCUGGACUCGAGUCUGUCGUAUACAGCGACAUAAUGGCUCAGUUAUGUGAGCUUCAAUUAUUGUUUUCACUUCAAUUUUCGCAACAUUUUUUUUUUGUUUUUGAAAUGAAUUAGUUAAUGCAGAUCAACUGCUGGUGAUUUUGCUAUCAUAACUUGUUUCCGUAGCUAUCCGAUGAAUUCGAAUGAGUUUCAGGCCAAUUAAAACAAAUAAAUGAGAAUUGUAUUUGAAUACUGAUAUUGAAGUUAACAUUCUAGUCCAGAUAGGUAGUUUCUGUCGAUGAAGAUAUCUACUCUAUGGCAAAAUAUAAUUAUUAUUCUUUUUUUUAUCAAAGUGAAAAAAUCAAAAUGACAACUAAUAGCUGGAACACUUCGUUCGGAAAAGUCGUAUUUCCUCCAAGUUUUACUUGAAAACUUACAAAUUCUUUUGAAAUUUCUCGAAUAAUUAGAAGAAUUAUUCCUACCUAGGUAGCAUGUGAUCUCAUCUUAUAUCAUAUUUGUUUUUCUUGUAUAUUCAAUUUUCCUUUUUUAGUAUGAUCGAUACCUUGUUUCCAAUAUCGCAACCUUCUUUUAAGAAGUAUCACUCCCUUACAUUCCAUAAGAGCACCUCAAUUCAUACUAUCCCAACUUGAUAAUAAACAUGAAAUAUUUAUUUCAAUCAGAAAGUGUAAUCCAGUUAUCAAAACCUGUGUAAAAUGAAUUUGUAACUCAAGUUCAAAUGAAUUUCCUUACAAAUUAAAUAUUGCAUGUCCCUGAAUCUGGAGAGAACAUAAUAGAAUCUAUUCCUGUUUUCCAAUUGUUUAGAAGUAAGAUAUAUAUUAUUUAAUAGCCUAUAGCUAACAUGUAAAAUAUUUUAACAUAGAGCAUUGCUUGAAGAUAAAUUCUAGUCUAAGCUGAGACAUAACAAAAAGCUUCUUAUCAUAUCAUCGUAUGUAAUCCAGUUCUUGUGUGUGAGACCUAAGAUUGAUUACAACUCGAAUUUCUUUCCUCAGAUACACUUUUUUUUUGUAAAAUCAUUUGAUAUUCUUAUCAUUUUCUAGCUUUCUUAUCAUUUUCUGUCACAAAAAUUCAAGUCAUUUUUGAGACUGAUUAUUCAGUUUUUGAAUUCUUGAAACUUUUCUUGAUAUAAUUAAUUUAUCGGAUACGAACUAUUCAAGAAUAGUAUCAUCUUGUAGAUAAAUAAUAAUCCAUUGUAAAUAUGUAUGUAAUGUCUUCCGAUAUGUCCAUUAUGCUGGAGUGCUUGGCUUUAAGUAUUUUUUUAGAUGUAUUCACGUUCUUGUUACUUAAGAAAAAUCCGUUGCUUACCCUGGAAUAAAUCUGUGGCAUUCUUCAAUUGAAUUGAUUUUGGAUAGAGUCAAGUUCAGAUGUUGAACUAUUUUACUCAUAAAAUAUUGUAUUCAUUUUCGUAAUCACAGUUUGAUCGAUAUUUAGCUCAAAUUUGGUUUUUUGAAUUUUAAGAUUAAUAAUAAUAUUACAAGCUUUUCACAGUUCCAUGUAACUCAAAAUCACGUAUUGAUUACUAUCAAUCGAAAGUGAAGCAGAUACAAAAUCACACUUCAUUACACCACAAGAUUUUAUUGCCGUAUUGGAUUGAAAUUCCAUUGUUUUCAGAUUAUAAUUAUGUUUCGAAUCAAUUUUUAGCUUUGCUUUAGGACUUGUUCCAUUUAGUUUAACUGUGCAAUAUGAAACACAUUGAAUCGUUUGCCAUAAAAACUCACGAUUGGGAGUGUUUAUAGAUACUUAGUGCCGGUCGCACAAAAGCCGGUUAAGUUUUAAUCGUGAUUAACUCCACGAGAGCCAAUCAGAGUAGCCGUCUUAUCAAAAAGGCCUUCUCUGAUUGGUUCUCGUGUAAUUAAUCUCGGAUAAAAUUUAACCGGCUACUGUGCAACCGGGCCUUAUCUGUAGUAAAAUUAUGAACGAUUCACCCAUGAAUAUUGUAAAGCAAGAAAAAUUCUAAUGGUAUGUUUACCCUGAUAAAAUUAUUUAUUUUGUAAAUUUGAAAGAUUUAUUAUUAGUUGAUACUAGCUGAACUUUUCAUUGUAGAUUACCAUUGUAGGUGUAGAUAAUGAGAUUAAUAAGAUUUAUUCCACUUUAAUAUAAGAAAUUUGUAAAAAGGAUAGUCUACUAUUGAAAUAAAAAUUCAUUGAAAACCCAC